rnacentral:rRNA from 1 species
UCAUCUCCGGGGGUAGAGCACUGUUUCGGCAAGGGGGUCAUCCCGACUUACCAACCCGAUGCAAACUGCGAAUACCGGAGAAUGUUAUCACGGGAGACACACGGCGGGUGCUAACGUCCGUCGUGAAGAGGGAAACAACCCAGACCGCCAGCUAAGGUCCCAAAGUCAUGGUUAAGUGGGAAACGAUGUGGGAAGGCCCAGACAGCCAGGAUGUUGGCUUAGAAGCAGCCAUCAUUUAAAGAAAGCGUAAUAGCUCACUGGUCGAGUCGGCCUGCGCGGAAGAUGUAACGGGGCUAAACCAUGCACCGAAGCUGCGGCAGCGACACUAUGUGUUGUUGGGUAGGGGAGCGUUCUGUAAGCCUGUGAAGGUGUACUGUGAGG